rnacentral:lncRNA from 10 species
CUCUUUUGAUUCCGCCCCGCGGCGAGGUUGCUGUGAUAAUUGGUCGGCUUUGACCCUUGCAGCAUUUUGAUUGGCUCCAGCGUGUACGGGGUCGACCUUGGUGGCGUAUCAGCUUGGUACUCUCAUUGGCUAACGUUCCAGGGUCGAAGGACAGGUAAAGGUGGGUUGCGCGGCAGAGGCGGCUAGGCAGCAAGGUCAGGCCUCGCGUCCCACCAGGCACCGCGGCAGCCGGGCCCCCACCCCACCUCUGGUUCGGAGUAGCCGACCUAAAACCGGAAGUGCUGGCCCUUCCCAGAGUGCCUCGGGAGAAUUCUAAUCUGUUCUGCGAACCCUGCGCUGCUCCUCGUUACCCACAAUGCCCUCAUCACCUCUUAGCGAAACAGUUGCCUUAGACCCACCCCUUUCGUUACCCAUCAUGCCUCUUGUUCCUCGCGUCACUGCGGCUUCUAUCUUUGGCCCAUUCAUUCCUCUCCCAUUACCCAUCAUGCCUCUGCCCCAUUCAUUUGAGCUUCAUUGCCCAGACUACUUUUAGCUCCAGCCUGCCUGCUCACUUUCGUCGUUCUUCCGGCCCUUCUCUAAUUAGCCAUCAUGUUUUGGAUCCAUGAACUCCUGUCCGUUACCUCCCUUGCCCCCGGUCCCUAUUUUUCCAUUAUUCAUCACUCUGCCUCUGGCCCAUUCAUUCAGGUUUAUUAUCCGUCAUGCCUUGGGCUCCUAUUACAACAUUAUUCAUGAUUUUGCCUUUAGUCUACUUUUACUUGCCGUUUAUUCAUUAAACUUGAGCCUCUUAUACUUUCGUUACUGCUUUUUUAAUUUUUAUUUUUUUAAAGACAAGGUUGGACUCUGUCACUCAGGCUGGAGUGCAGUGGCGCCAUCAUAGCUUACUGCAGCCUUGAACUUCUGGCCUCAAUCGAUCCUCCUACCUCAGCCUCCAGAGUAGCUGAACUACAGGUGCGUGCCACCACGCCCGGCUAACUUUCGUAGAGGCGGGGUCUCACUGUGUUUCCCAGGCUGGUCUCUUAACUCCUGGACUCAGUCGAGCUUCCCGCCUCAGUUUCCCGAAGUGCUGGAAUUACAGGAAUGAGCCACUGCAUCUGGCCAAUUGCUAUUUUUAUCUUUGUCCCAUUCAUCAUACUGCUGUUGCAAUUAUGAAUGUUCAUUAAACAGCAUGCCCUGGACCCCUCCCCAUUCCAUUACUCAACAUUCUGUUUUUAGGGCUGGGCGCAGUGGCUCACGCCUGUAAUCCCAGCACUUUGGGAGGCCGAGACGGGUGGAUCACGAGGUCAGGAGAUCGAGACCAUCUUGGCUAACGCGGUGAAACCCCGUCUCUACUAAAAAUACAAAAAAUAAGCCGGGCGUGGUGGUGGGCGCCUGUAGUCCCAGCUACUCGGGAGGCUGAGGCAGAGGAAUGGCGUUAACUCAGAAGGUGGAGCUUGCAGUGAGCCGAGAUCAUGCCACUGCACUCCAGCCUGGGCGACAGAGCGAGACUCCGCCUCAAAAAAAAAAAAAAUUUUGUUUUUGAUUGAUACAUUUUUGCUCAUUACUCUCUCAAUUCUUAUUUUGUAUCUUUGGUCCCUUUGUUUUUGUCUUUAACUCUCUUGACCCCAGUUCACUGAUUCUCUCAAGCCCUUAGACUCCUUCCUCAUUCCCCUUCAUGUCUCACCCCAUCCCCUUCACAUCCCACAGAAAAGGCAAGACCUGGUCAAAGUAUAAAUUCAUAUUUUGUAGGAAAUGUAGUUUACAAAACAGUAUCAAUUGCUACCCCCAAUUCAGAUGACCCACUUUCCCCGGAAGGGGGAUGUUUAGGUCCUAUUCCACUGGGCAAGGGUAAAAUGAUUCAGUAGUCUUCCAGGUUAACAGUAAAUUCUUCUCCCAAGGCUGGGGCUGCUUGCUUGGUAGGCAG